CCUGGAUGUUCACCUGUGUGUGAUGUGGUUUCUUUCUCCGGAAGUCACUUACCAUCUUCUUGGUCUUACCGGUGUUUAAGCACAGGUGGUUACACAUGCACCAGUCCACAAAGUUCAUGAUGACUGAUCUGUACUCUAGCUCGUUCCCCUCAGACACACAGCCAACGGUGACUACGACACGCUAAUACAGUACUGGAAGAAUAAGAGAAUAUAUACGUUUUCUCUUUCAGGUAUGAGAUAGUGAUAGUGGGAGCAAUAGCUUUUGAUCUUUUUACUUUGUGUUUUGAGGAUUUGCCAACAUAAAAAAACGAAUAUUUCUCCCACAGGUCAUCAACCAUUCUGAUUCCUGCUCCAUAUUCCCUAAACUCUCCAGCUCCUCUUCAGCACCGGCUGAUUGGCUCAGACCGGGGGGACAGCAUCAGUCACUGGGGGACGCGUGUCCGCCGCCGCUCGGCUCAGCACGAACGUGUGUUUUCCUGUGAUCACAACCAGUGUGAUAAAGUGCAGGCUUCCUCUGAUACGGGUUCCACAGGAAGCGGAGUGAGUGAAGUGUCUUGGCAUUUGGGCCGCUGAUGAUGCGACGCUUCGUUCUGCGAGGGAAAGGACAGGACACCGCCCUAUUUGUUGUUGCUGUGUCCUUAAGCGCUGAUUGAGGAGGUAAAGGCAGCGCGAGGCAGUCGGCAUGAAACCAACAGAGGUAAAUAAAGCCAGUGUACGUUGCA
rnacentral:lncRNA from 1 species